rnacentral:rRNA from 1 species
GCAUUNAGCAUUUCNGCUUNGNGGGUGAACGGUCGCAAGNUUAAAACUCAAAGGAANUGACGGGGUCCGCACAAGCGGUGGAGCAUGUGGUUUAAUUNGAAGCAACGCGCANAACCUUACCUAACCCUUGACAUGGCAGGACCGCUGGAGAGAUUCAGCUUUCUNGUAAGAGACCUGCACACAGGUGCUGCAUGGCUGUCGUCAGCUCGUGUCGUGAGAUGUUCGGUUAAGUCCGGCAACGAGCGCAACCCACGUCCCUAGUUGCCAGCAUUCAGUUGGGCACUCUAUGGAAACUGCCGAUGAUAAGUCGGAGGAAGGUGUGGAUGACGUCAAGUCCUCAUGGCCCUUACGGGUUGGGCUACACACGUGCUACAAUGGUGGUGACAGUGGGUUAAUCCCCAAAAGCCAUCUCAGUUCGGAUUGUCCUCUGCAACUCGAGGGCAUGAAGUUGGAAUCGCUAGUAAUCGCGGAACAGCAUGCCGCGGUGAAUACGUUCCCGGGCCUUGUACACACCGCCCGUCACACCAUGGGAGUUGGUUCUACCCGACGACGCUGCGCUAACCCUUCGGGGAGGCAGGCGGCCACGGUAGGNCAGCGACGGNNGAG